AAGACUAUAUUUUCAGGGAUCAUUUCUAUAGUUCGUUACUAGAGAAGUUUCUCUGAUCGUGUAGAACAAGGACCAUUAUCUUACACCAUCUCUCUCAAGA
rnacentral:snoRNA from 1 species